CUACAUUCCACAGAGCCACGGGUGCACUGUGGAGCACACUGACUACCUUCCACAGAGCCACGGGUGCACUGUGGAGCACACUGACUACCUUCCACAGAGCCACGGGUGCACUGUGGAGCACACUGACUACCUUCCACAGAGCCUCGGGUGCACUGUGGAGCACACUGACUACCCUCCACAGAGCCAUGAGUGUACUGUGGAGCAUACAC